rnacentral:rRNA from 1 species
UGCAAGUCGAGCGGAACGAGUUAUCUGAACCUUCGGGGAACGAUAACGGCGUCGAGCGGCGGACGGGUGAGUAAUGCCUAGGAAAUUGCCCUGAUGUGGGGGAUAACCAUUGGAAACGAUGGCUAAUACCGCAUGAUGCCUACGGGCCAAAGAGGGGGACCUUCGGGCCUCUCGCGUCAGGAUAUGCCUAGGUGGGAUUAGCUAGUUGGUGAGGUAAGGGCUCACCAAGGCGACGAUCCCUAGCUGGUCUGAGAGGAUGAUCAGCCACACUGGAACUGAGACACGGUCCAGACUCCUACGGGAGGCAGCAGUGGGGAAUAUUGCACAAUGGGCGCAAGCCUGAUGCAGCCAUGCCGCGUGUAUGAAGAAGGCCUUCGGGUUGUAAAGUACUUUCAGUCGUGAGGAAGGUGGUAGUGUUAAUAGCUGCUAGUUUGACGUUAGCUGCAGAAGAAGCACCGGCUAACUCCGUGCCAGCAGCCGCGGUAAUACGGAGGGUGCGAGCGUUAAUCGGAAUUACUGGGCGUAAAGCGCAUGCAGGUGGUUUGUUAAGUCAGAUGUGAAAGCCCGGGGCUCAACCUCGGAAUAGCAUUUGAAACUGGCAGACUAGAGUACUGUAGAGGGGGGUAGAAUUUCAGGUGUAGCGGUGAAAUGCGUAGAGAUCUGAAGGAAUACCGGUGGCGAAGGCGGCCCCCUGGACAGAUACUGACACUCA